AUUUGAGUAGUUUAUAAAAACAUUACACUUUCAUUGUAAAAAUAACUUAGAGUUCUUAAAUA
rnacentral:tRNA from 1 species